UAACCAGCAGAGUGCAGUGUGCAAUUACAAGCCACAGUCGGGUGCAAACUCAUUAGAUGUAACCAAUGACUCAGGUAAAGGGUCGAAUGGACUUCACAGCCUAGAUUCUAAAGAAAUCAAUACACUUGUUAACAAAUCUGUAGGAUUCAUCAAAGAAGAAAGGGAAUAUUAUGGCAGUGAUGCAUCAUCUGAAAAGCCCAAGUCCAAAUAUAGAAGGCCACCCACUCCAGGUUCCAGACAACGAAGAAAAGCGACCUCAGUUGAAACCAUCAAAACUGUUUCAGGGACUGAAGUUCAGGAGAGUACAGUAGGUGCGUACUCAUACAUGGAGCGAACUGCACAGAGAGAGCUGACGGAGGGUUACUGUGUGGUCAGUUGCAGCAGUAGCAGCAGCACAAGAACUGUGUCAAAACCUUGUAGGGGUGAAUCAGGAGAGGUUAGGCAGAAAAUGUCUGACUCCUCCUUUAGAUCCUCAGGUGUUGCACAGAUUCCCCAGCUACAGAACAAUGGGACGAUGGGAAUAUCAGAGACUGUGAUGCACAAAUAUGAAUCACAGGGUAUGUGUGACAAAUACAAUGCAAAUACACAGGUUUAUGUGGACAACAAGCCUGGAUAUCACACAAAAGCUUUGCCUCAAAAUAAGCCAGGCUCAAUAGACUCAGAACCACGUUCGUCAAGUAAUGAUUGUGAUGUAGAUUUCAGUAGGCAGUCCACAAGUUCCAACUCCCAGGAUGGUGGAACAACUAAUAUGCUGUCAUUGUCAUCUGCCUGUUCAACACCUCCAAAAAAAAUAAACAACAAUCCAUCCAUCCUCACUGAUGAUGAAAAACAAACCUUGGUUGAGUACACGUCAGAAAUGAUUGAAAAGGAAAUUAUGCAUCCAGCAGCAUCGAUGGAACAAGUCUCUGAUGAUAAAAGCAUUGUUAGUAAUGAAAACAAUACACCAAAGUCCAAAAAAUCAAAGAAAAGUACUUCUUCUGAAUCAUCUGGAUUUGGGAAAAAAAUAAGGGGCAGUGCUCCAGGGUCUUCAAAAGUCCUCCAAAUGACUUCAGACACACCAAGCAACACAGGAUCAGAGAAAAAGACUAGCUCAGCAGAAAGUGACAGACCUGAACACAAAGUUGUAAGAGACAAAAAUAAGAAGACAAAAACAUUUGAAAGUUCUCCAAAAAUUAGAAACUUGAAUCUCAAUACUGGGAAUCAAAGUCGAUCAGAUAAAGAUCUCAAGUUAAAAGAUAAAACCAUUAACAACAUUUCCCACAAAGUAAACACAAAGGACCAUGACUCUCAGCAGCCUAAAUUAAAGAAGAAGACUUUAGACAUUCAAUCGCCAGCCCAUCCAGCAUCCCAAAUAAAGAGGCUACCGAAACAAAAGUCAAUGAAUGGUGUCAGAUCAAAAUCCUCUAAAGAAAAACAGGAGUUGAGUGAAAGUGUGUCAUUGCCUGUGCUACAAUUGUGUGUAAAUCAAUACGUUGAAAGCUGGCUAAAUAAAAUUGAACCAGAAUCUGUGCCCUAUGAUGAUGAAACAAACCAUCCAGAGGUUGUACCAAGAGCAGUAUUCCAGAUAGGGAGUGAUUCCACUGAUGGUUCUAAUAUUAAAAGUGACCCUGAGAAAGAUAGCGUAGAUGUUGAAGGCCCUUCUCUAGAAGAUAAUUCUGAUGAGAGGCAACCUGUACUAAUAAGUUGUGAGGGAGAUCCAACUGAGCUACAGAGGCCGAUAGGAUUUUAUAAAUUGAUGCCAAUUUUGAGGAUACAUUCUGAACAGGAGAGUCUUGUAAGAAUGCACAAGUCAUCUGAGAACUUGGUUCCACCUGACCCUUCUGAGACAUCACAAAGUACAGAGGUCAGAGUUAGGUCAGGCAUGAAGCCAGUUUUGCAACAGUUGUGUUUGUCUGUUCAGUCCAUCAAGCAGGCAUUGAGUCAGGCCCGCUUAACACCUUUGGAAAGGGAAAAGUCUAGUAGUCUCCCGGAUUUUUCCUCUCAGGUGGCCUCUGCCUUUGGUUCUCCCUCUAGAGCUCUUCUGUCUUUCUUGUCACUGAUGACUCUGAGAGAUGGACUUUCAGUCCUCUACAAAGAUGAAUCACAAGCCAGCAACUCUAAUGUCUGUCCAGAAGCCCUGCAGGUAAUGCAGUCCUUGGAAAAAAUAUCCAAUAUUAAAGAUGAAGAUGAGCUAAAG
ensembl:lncRNA